AUGUGAAUGUAAAUAUGAAAUAAUAAGGCUGUAAUUUUAUUAUUCUGAGGUAAUAAGUGCUCAUAUAACAGUGUAAAGUACGUGAUGUCAUCAUGGGACACGAGACUCAUAACAUGGAAAAGUUGAUUCCAUAUAGAAAGUUAGACAUUUAAAUUGAAAUCUUAAAACAAGAAUCACUUUUCUCUGACCUCAUUUUAUCCUCAUGCCAUAAUAAAGUGAUCCAAACAUUCAUUCUCCAGAGUUUCCACAACUAGCAAACAUUUCCUCUACUUUACAUUAUUAUUAUAUAUAAAACCACAGUGAGUACACGGCCCCAGGACAUGGAAUUAAAAAGUCCCACGUGGAACCAGUGGAGCUCGUCUGUGUGGUUUUAAUGGUUUGGACUGAAUAACGCGUCCAGGCAUGAGGGUGGAGUUUGAGUCCUCCCUUUCUCCAGACCGGCCACCGGACACUCCGCCUGUCUGUUCCCGGGAAUCAGCUUCCGUUGCUGCAUUCCAGGGGCACACACACACACCGGUAGCUCCCAUCGCACGGUGACCGCGGGAUGGGACGUUUUCAACGGGUGAUAAAGUGAAGUUAAACCGCUGUGAACCCGGACCGGGAGGAAGCGGAGACUCGUGUCCGCCCCGCUGGAGGAGUUUUACUUCUUUUUGUUUUUACUCCGUUAUUUCCGGGGGGAAACUCGGCCACGUCGGAGCCGAUGAGACAACCGACACAGGAACCGGGAACGUGACUCGUCUGCCGCUGACGUUUGAGUCGCUCACGCGGAGCUCCAACACUUCAAAACGGGGAUUAAUGUCCCGUUUUAACCUCGUGUUCCCGGUUGUGCUGACUCACCGGCAGACAGACUCCCUCCCUGCCUCGCUCCACGGCCGCCGGGCCCCGCGGCUGCAGAAGCUGAGCUGAAGCGGGCCGCGGCCUCAGGCACCCCGGGCUGUCAGGUGAGAGGCGUGGCUCUGGGCGGGAGCAGCUCCGGCAGCACCUGGGCGAGGGAGUGUGCGAGCGGAGGAGCACUGAGCGGGAUCCCGGGCUGAGGGAGCGAUCAGGCGUGGAGCAGAGGACAGCGGUUCCCAGGUCACCGGGGACACGGUAAUGACCCACGGCGCCUUUUCGAGGUUUGACCGAGAGGACGGACAAGUGGAGACCGGGUCAGAGAGGAUCUAGGGCGGACAGCGGGGGGACAACCGGGGGCCAUGGCUCAUUCUCAGGUUCAGUGUCUGGACGACCACCACGUCAACUGGCGGGUGAGUGAGAGCAAGCCGGAGUUCUUCUACAGCGAGGACCAGCGGCUGGCCGUGGAGGCGCUGGUCACCAAGGGCCGGGACGCCUACAUCGAGGUCCUCCACCCGAGGGGAGUGCGGGACUUCCUCUCGGAGCCGGAGCUGGAGCGGAUCCAGCGCACGACGGAAGCUUACCGGCCCGGGCACGAGCACCAUCAGAAACCAGACACCCCCGGCCUGGGGAACAUCACCCCGGGCUCGGGGGAGGAAACCGGGGACGGGGAGGUGUCGCUCCAGUACUGGCCGGACCGGUCCGAGGGCUCCGUGGUGGAGCUGGACCUGGGCUGGCCCGAGGCCAUCUCCUACCGUGGGGUGACACGGGUCACCGUGUACACACAGCCUCCAACCGACGGACACACGCACAUCAAGGAGGUGGUGAGGAAGUGCAUCGCGGGAGCUCAGAAGGUAAUAGCCGUGGUAAUGGAUGUGUUUACAGACGUGGAUAUCUUUCGCGACCUGCUUGAUGCUGCAUAUAAACGCAAAGUUCCUGUAUACAUCAUCAUUGACACGGCUGCAGUCCCCUGCUUUCUUUCCAUGUGUGGCAGAGCUGAUAUGCACCGUGGACAUCUAAAGAAUCUGCGUGUGCGCUGCUGCGGAGGCGUGGAGUUCUUCACCCGGUCGGCACAGAAGGUGCGUGGGUCGCUGAGCCAGAAGUUUCUCCUGGUCGAUGUAGACCGAGCCAUCUCUGGUUCAUACAGCUUCACCUGGUCGUCCUCUCGUUUGGACCGUAACCUCAUCACUGUGAUCACGGGACAGGCGGUGGAGACGUUGGACCUACAGUUUCAGGACCUUUACCUCGUGUCCAGAGGCGUGUCUCUCAGCAAGGUUCCCAUGGUGGAUGAACCCGUCCCGGACCCGCUGUACCAGGUGGCUCCUGCUCCUGUGUCAGCUGCUAUUGCAAGGAAACUCAUCAAUCCCAAAUACUCCCUGGUUACCACAGGAGCCAACAGUCCAGCCCCCUCGGACAAGAACUCUGCAAAUCCAACGGGGCUAAAAAUAAAGAAAGGGCGUCUCAAGCAGGUUAUCGAAGAACCGCCAUUACACCCAGGAUUAGCCCAUCUGGAGAAAGCAUACAUGAUCCCAUACCUGCCCACCUGGCCAGAUCCUGACCCACCGAGCGACGUGAUAGGCUUCAUCAACAUCAGGGAUGAAAAACGGGCCAAUCAGGUUCAUCUACAGAGGUCGGAGAGGUUUGAUGUAAGCAGGGCUAUACGCUUCAGCUCACCGCUGACUGUGAAACCCCAGCCUGAGGAGCCUGCUCCAGCUCAGGAGGCAGACGCAGCAGAAAUAACCAAAAAGCCCUCUGGGAAUACAAGUCCAGAAGCCUCUACUCCUGUGACAACAACCAGUACGCAAGUCCAAGAGAAAACAAACGCUCCCCCCAACAAAGACCAAAGUGAUACAACAGAUUCCAGUGUGGCCCCUCAGCAGCCCCUCACACAGGAAACACACAAAACAAAUGAACACACUCCUAAAUCAGUCGCCCCUGCUGAUUCACAGCCAACAGAUGGCGUUAAACAAACUGCAGAGACACAAGCCCCAGCUCCUCCUGUUCCUAAACGCCGCACCCUGCAGCUGGUCCUGGACCCGUCCCCUACCGAGCAGCCGGGACAACCGCAGGUGACUCUCAUUAAAAUGGACCAACUGGAAGGUCAACAGGACUCUUUGAGCAAAAGGAGAAGCCAGGCGGAGCUGACGGUACGCCGUGGACGCAUGACCUCAAAGAACUUGGAGGGGGACUCCGGCAGCAACGAGUCCGGCAGCCAGGACAGCACCAAGGUCAUCUGUGACCGGGCGACCAACGAUGAUCCUUCAAGUGCUUCCACCGUGUCGGAGGAGGAGUUCUACGAUUCCCCGCAGGAGCCGAUCGACCCGCCGCUGAACGGAGUCUCGACGGGUUCGGGUCACGGAGGCCGGCACGGAGACGGGGUCAACAUGAUGGCCCGCCUCUCCCAGAGUAUGCUGGACCUGCGAGAGCCCAGCCAACCGGAGGACAGCACCGCCCUCAUCCGCCAAUCACAGCAGCUUCGCAGACAAGGUCACCCCUCACCACACAGGCACAUAGGAGAAUUGUUCAGGACAUCUAGAUCUCCAGGGAGAGAUGCACGACUGCAAGGAAACAAAGUCGUCAUCGCCAAACCGGGGAGUUACAACCGCCCGACCCGAGCAACUGGCCCGGUGAUCGGAGGACACCGUUACUGGGACGGUGAAGCGAUGCAAUCCAAUUCCACCCAGCAGCACGCACAGACGCGGUCCAGCCGGUCGCCCCAACGCCACAGCCCGGGUUACAGGAACACGGACCAAUCCUCGGCUCAGCCGCCGCCGCUCAACCCAUCAGGGCUUCUAGGAGUUUCUCUCUCAAAACUGACCAACUUCAGACACUUGAGGGCACGAGGAGGAGGAGGAGGAGGGUCGCAGAAGAAGGCGACUCAAAAUAACAAGGCUGCUUCUUAGAGCAGAGGACCUGUGGACACACGGACGUUUGUUGUACAAAGACGUCCUGCUAAGAAACUGGUGACUCUUCACUGUGGAAUCCUUCCUAUCUCAGGCCUGCAUGUCCCUUCCUGUCUUAAACCCUGAGGCUCAGCUUGCCUCAACUAUUUAAUAGUGAAUAUUGACUGUUAAGAUUUAUGAAUCUGAUACGAUGAUGUGUUGUUAAGAGGUUUUGUCUGUAAAUUAAUUACUUGUCCUUCCAAACUAUGUUCUUCCUGGUUAAAGGUUUUCAGACUGGAUGCUACCAGUGGCGUCCGGCUGAUAAAGUUUUAGAGGAUGUUGCCGAUCUGAGAUGAAAUUAACUUUCCAAACAAAUGCAUAACACUUUUGUAGUCAAUUAAUUUAGUUAUCUUGUUUCCAAGGCCCUGUUCAGACCCGGAGUUCAGGUCUCACUGCCCUGCCCUAUGUGCAAAUAACCAGUCAUUUGUAUUUGUUUAGACCAAAUGAUCUUGUUUUUGCCCAGUCAGAGUUUAAAGAUGUGUCAUAUGUCAGUGUGUUUGUGUGUCGACACAGUCCAGAUUGUGAUGUGGGGAUCAGAGUUGAUAUUGUGACAUCAGCUGAUUCUGUGUUUCUUCACAAGUGACACAUUUCCGUUCAAGCUGUGGAAGUAAUGCGUCGCAGAGCAGCUCCCAAUAUGAUCUGAGGAGUCCAGGCUGGAACGGAGAUCCCAUCUUUCAGGCCAGAUGUUAACAACCAGAUGUACCUGGUCGGUGCACCAGUACCAGGUGGCCAGUAUGGUGAGGCCCAGCGUCAUGCCAGGCCAGGGCAGGUCCCCGGUGACGGCGUUCCUGAACAGCCAGUGACAGCGAUGCCUCCAGCCGCUCCAGUCCCGGCCAGACCGAUGAAGAGCCCUGAUCCCUCGGAGCUGGCGAACAGAGACGCUCCGAUCUGAUGGAACAGGAAACAUGAGCUUUACCUCGAGAACCAACAUGACUUCAAAUAGAUACUCUGCUACAAGUCUAAGUAUCAGAAGCAAACAUUAAAGUACACCCUCGGGAAGAAUAAUAUUAGUAUCUUAGGCCUUAUUUUGAAUAAAGUUACUUUCAAUGACUUCAUCCACAGAUAGUUUCGUCCAGUAGUUCUCAACCUGUAGUUUGUUUCCCUCCAAAGAUUCAGAGUUUUUUUU